GGCUCUUUGGGGUGUCCCCGGUCACUUUGGGGUGUCCCCCCAUCACUUUGGGGUGUCCCCCCGGCUCUUUGGGGUGUCCCCGGUCGUUUUGGGGUGUCCCCCGGGCAUUUUGGGGUGUCCCCCCGAGCCCAAAGCUUUCCUAUCAUUUUCUAAUUAAAGCCUUUGCCAUUCCAGCCUCGCCGCUCCUUUGGGUUUUGGGGGGUCCGGCAGAAGCUCAUUUAUUGUGGAGCCCCAGCGCGGGGUCUGGGGGUCCCGGGGGGUCCCGGGGGUGUCCCAGGGGGUCCCGGGGGUCCCGGGGGUCACCAGCAGAGCUGCCCCGGGCAGUAUUUAUCGAUGAGGCCCUGGUAGUAACCUCGGAGUUGCUGCACAUCGGGCAGCUCCUCCUGCUUGGUGUACAGGUCAAACUUGCUGCGGGGACAAACAGGGGGGGGUCAGGGCACCCCAAAACCU
rnacentral:lncRNA from 1 species